CGGGGCCGCGGUGUCGCGCCUGGCAUAGCCCGACGCCGGCGGGACGCGGCCACCGCACGGUGCGAGCGCACAGCAAGACCCAACCCUCACCAGAAUCGGUAGGACUUGGUGGGCAUUUUUCACAGCAUUUUGGAGCAAACCGUUUUCCAGUAGUUUCUACACAAAUUUACAUAAAACUGGAAUUUAACCUGUCAUGGAGCUGGCUCACAGUUUGUUACUGAACGAGGAAGCAUUAGCUCAAAUCACAGAAGCAAAGAGACCAGUCUUUAUCUUUGAGUGGUUAAGAUUUUUGGAUAAAGUGCUAGUAGCUGCC